GGUGGGUGGUUCUAUUGUGUAUAGACUAGAGUACGUUAUUUCAAUCCAACGUGGGCAUCCGGAGAAGUUGCUCUCUCUUGGCUCUGCCCGUGUGGCGUACGGGAGCGUAGGCUUUCGAGCUCCAUGACGUAUAGUCCCAUUCCACGACGUUGGAGAAUAAGCUUGGGCCUCUGGUCUGCAGCCUGCAUAUUCCUACUGCUUCUCUGAGUCUUCGGACUGUGACUGAGGAGAUAAACCAUGCAGGAGACAUUGCAUUACCCAGAUGGCUUCUUCACUCUGGGAAGCCAUGUUCUGUAACCACAUCAAAUUCCAUUAGGCAGACUGAGCAGGGAUUCACUUAGUUGUUCUAACAUGUUGUUUGCUUGUUCUAUUUCAGCAGCUUUGCAAGCAGCGCACGCCUGCCCACAAGCUUCAGAUGCUAUGUUGCAUCAGUUGAAAAGGUAAAAUGAAGAAGCCGCUGGAUAACAGGGUUCACUCUUUCAGGUUCCAUAUUUGAGUUCUCUUUUGGAUCCAUUUUCCAACAGGAUCCCUGCAGUUCCUCUUCACAUUCCUGCCCGGGUCUCCUAUUCUUUUGACUGGAUAGUAUCUUAGUAGUAUAUUUUAUUCCCUUUCGUUGAUGUUUAGUUAUUCUAAUGACUUGGUAUGCUAACUCCUAAACACCAGGAUGUGAUCUAAUGGUUAAAUUAUAGAAGAAAAGUCCGUGAAAAGGUUUAACACGGGUACGCAAAGGAAAAAAUGUAGAUCUGGUCAUAUGUUUUGCAUGGAUAGAAGAGUUCUGGUUUUACUUCUACUCCUUGAUAGGCUACCUGGAGACUAUACAAAGCACUAACAAAUGGAGUAGGGCUGCAUUUACUUUGGCAAAAAUGGGAUUCAUAAUUCACCACAGGGUGGAUUAAAAUGAUUUAUUUAUUUAUUUUAUUUCAAUUGUAAUUUCUCAAUCUGUUAAAUGAAAUCUGAGUUUAAUACAAAAUAUGUUACGGCCUAAAUUUAAAAUAAUCUCAAACAUUUUAAUAAAUAUACUGAAUCCAUAAGUCUUUAUCAAAAGUUUUAAAGGCUGCUUUCCUAUGUAAAGAAAGGAACGGGAAAAUCUUGUUUCUGACAUCAAGCUUUAUAGAUUGGCACAAUCUAUAAAGGCACAAUAGGUCGUGCACUGUAUUAAGGGCUUGUUUUUUAAUAAAAAUAAAAU